AGGCGCGAAAAUUACCCAAUCUUAACAAAUGAAGGAGGUAGUGACGACAAUUAACGCUAUCUCUCGUCUUUUGGCGAGGAUCGUCGGAAUGAUUUCGAUUUAAAAUAUCGAAAGAAAGCAAUUGGAGGGCAAGUCUGGUGCCAGCAGCCGCGGUAAUUCCAGCUCCAAUAGUGUAUUGUAAAGUUGUUGUGAUUAAAACGCUCGUAGUUGAAUGAAAACAAUCGAGACGUGAUUUACGUUCUCUCGGUCAUACGAUGGAUUCGUCCAUCCGGCCGAGUUGAACUGCAAUCGCAUAACGUCUCAUAAUAAGCGGGAGUUUGUUUACUCAAACUCUUUUACUUUGAUUAAAUCAAGGUGCUUAAAGCAAAAUCUUCUGUUAAUGAAUGAUGAAGCAUGGUAUAGAAUUAAAACAGAACAGAAAGAAAAACGAAUAAAUGGAGAUGGGCAACCAUUCGAAAUUUAUUUAUUUUUGUUUUGUUUAAAACAAGGUUAAGAGAAAUGAUUAGGGUGAUUUAGAUAGGAACGGGAGAGGUGGA
rnacentral:rRNA from 1 species